GCCGCGUGUGUGAAGAAGGCCCUCGGGUUGUAAAGCACUUUCAGCGAGGAAGAACGCCUAGCGGUUAAUACCCGCUAGGAAAGACAUCACUCGCAGAAGAAGCACCGGCUAACUCCGUGCCAGCAGCCGCGGUAAUACGGAGGGUGCAAGCGUUAAUCGGAAUUACUGGGCGUAAAGCGCGCGUAGGUGGCUUGAUAAGCCGGUUGUGAAAGCCCCGGGCUCAACCUGGGAACGGCAUCCGGAACUGUCAAGCUAGAGUGCAGGAGAGGAAGGUAGAAUUCCCGGUGUAGCGGUGAAAUGCGUAGAGAUCGGGAGGAAUACCAGUGGCGAAGGCGGCCUUCUGGACUGACACUGACACUGAGGUGCGAAAGCGUGGGUAGCAAACAGGAUUAGAUACCCUGGUAGUCCACGCCGUAAACGAUGUCGACCAGCCGUUGGGUGCCUAGCGCACUUUGUGGCGAAGUUAACGCGAUAAGUCGACCGCCUGGGGAGUACGGCCGCAAGGUUAAAACUCAAAUGAAUUGACGGGGGCCCGCACAAGCGGUGGAGCAUGUGGUUUAAUUCGAUGCAACGCGAAGAACCUUACCUACUCUUGACAUCCUGCGAAUUUGGUAGAGAUACCUUAGUGCCUUCGGGAACGCAGAGACAGGUGCUGCAUGGCUGUCGUCAGCUCGUGUUGUGAAAUGUUGG
rnacentral:rRNA from 1 species